AUACAUGCAAGUCGAACGAUACCAGAGAGCUUGCUUUCUGGGAAAGUGGCGCACGGGUGCGUAACGCGUAUGCAACCUACCUUAAUCAGGGGGAUAGCCUCUCGAAAGAGAGAUUAACACCGCAUAAAAUCACAGUCCGGCAUCGGACAAUGAUCAAAUAUUUAUAGGAUUAAGAUGGGCAUGCGUGACAUUAGCUAGUUGGUAAGGUAACGGCUUACCAAGGCUACGAUGUCUAGGGGAUCUGAGAGGAUGACCCCCCACACUGGUACUGAGACACGGACCAGACUCCUACGGGAGGCAGCAGUAAGGAAUAUUGGUCAAUGGGGGCAACCCUGAACCAGCCAUGCCGCGUGCAGGAAGACGGCCCUACGGGUUGUAAACUGCUUUUAUACGGGAAUAAACCCCUUUACGUGUAAAGGGUUGAAUGUACUGUAAGAAUAAGGAUCGGCUAACUCCGUGCCAGCAGCCGCGGUAAUACGGAGGAUCCAAGCGUUAUCCGGAUUUAUUGGGUUUAAAGGGUGCGUAGGCGGCCUAUUAAGUCAGGGGUGAAAGACGGUGGCUCAACCAUCGCAGUGCCCUUGAUACUGAUGGGCUUGAUUACACUUGAGGUAGGCGGAAUGUGACAAGUAGCGGUGAAAUGCAUAGAUA
rnacentral:rRNA from 1 species